GUCUUAUCGUCUUUUGGUUUGGUACCGACGCCUGUCUGUCGUAUUAAUCUUUUCUUACCUGGUAAAGAUGAAUUAAACAUGUAGGUCAGCAAAUGUUGCAUAAUAUCAUGAAACAUUGUAGGGGGCUAACAGAAGAGCAAAUUUGGCAGGUGGUUAGUGUUCAAUAUUGGUGAAAAAUAAAAAAACCAUCAUAUUAGUUUUUGACAUUUAUUGAAUUCUUGAUUGUGCUUCUCUUACCCGCAGUUCUGCAGGUAAUAAAAAGGCGUGCUUCAGGGCCUAUUAAAACAAACCAGUUUCUUCAUAGUUAAAAUCAAACAACUGGCGAGGUUAAUUUUUCUUUUAUAUCAUUGUCUGUUUGUUAUAGUAGUAAUGAUUUAGUAGAAAAUGUGCAUGUUAGUUAUCAGGCUUCCUGUUAUAGUUUCAGAGGCAGAGUGUGUCAGGUAAGAUGUGAUGCAUUGCAGGUUCAAGGAUAGUGUUAAGGACACAAAGGAGUUUGACAUGGAUUACGACAUUCUAGUCAUAGCUGUUGGAGCCACGUUCAAGGAAGCUGAAGAUGCUCUAAAGAUCCGUCAAACAGUCAUCAACUGUUUAGAGAGAGCGUCUCUUCUUGAUAUCUCUGAAGAAGAUUCUACAUUUCGUUGUGGUUGGUGGAGGACCCACUGCAGAACCAUUUGCAUCUGUCACAUCAUCAUCAAGGGCUGCAGCAACUGAAACAGCUUCUAUAUCUGAACCUAAAUACAGUCUUUCCAUGGGAGGAGUCUACAAGAUCCACAUAUGUACUGUUUGAUCAGAAAAAAAAAAAAGUAUAUAUUGUAAUUUCUUUUGGUUAUAUAACACAACAAGCACAAAACCUUUGUACUAUAAUUUAAAUGUCACAAGUGUGUGUGUAAACCGAUAUAAGUCAUUGCAGAUAGGUGUUGGAAAAAACUUAGUACAAACAAACUGAUGUAUAUAAUUUCUCCCCUGAAAAAUGCAAACGACGUCGUAGGUGUAAAUAUUUUAGACAAACGUUUAACGACACCGUUUCGGUCUGUGAAGUUAGAGUCAAAACAUUUUACGAUUUGUGAAAUUGGGGGGUGGGUCAGACGAAGAAGGCCGCAGCGAACGAACGAGUUUUAGUGGAGCUAUGGCUGAUUUCGACAUAGUUGAGCUUCGGGAACGAUAUAAACUGGUCUGUCAGGGUUUCCCCGCCAUUCCUUCUGACCUGAAACGCGAAUACGAAGAGGAGGACGAAGCUAAAGAGCUGAGGGAUCUAUUAAACAAUGCUGCUACGAUUAUGGGCGGUCUAGCAUAUAAUAUUAUAGAAGAGGCUACAUUCAAAAGUUCUACUUUGAUUGGUCUCAAUGCUCAGCUCGAUCUUUUCAAGACUCGUUUAUCUACCUGUGAAUCUACAUUCCUUGAAUUUGAACACUCACGAGUGCUUCUCACUGAUGAUCGAGUUGCUCAUCUCAAAGCUCAUGUGGAAGACAAGUAUGCUUUGUAUCGUGAUUGGGUACGUUUUCUCCACUAUGAUAAUUGCUUGUGUGUGAUUCAGUACGAUCAAGAUGCCCCGUUAAGGGAACUAAAACGAGAUAUGUUGAGGCUGCAACACCCUUUUCGCCAACAUCUGGAUUCGCUCCAUCAGAAAAUCUCCAACAACUCUUCACUCAUAAUCCAAAUUAACCAACUUGUGGAUCAAAUGAGUAAACACAUGGAAACGUGGCCGACCGAGGAUUUGAGAACCAAAGUCAAAGGAUAUGAUUACGUUUCUCAAUCAUUACAUACAGAUAAGAAUCGUCUCAACGAGCUCCAAGAAUCUCUUGAGAGGUUAAUAACGGAUGUGAUCGGGUUGAUAGAUAGAUUACUGGACAUUAAAAAGGAAUACGAUGUCAAGCUUUUCAGGAUUUAUACCAUCAGAAAAGAAGACUUUCAUGAACUAGACGCUUACCUCUUUGGUCCUAGGGCACCUAAGUCACCUCAAGCCUCGAAAUUCUUUCUUGAAGUGACAAAACUUGUCCCGAUCAACAAGCUUGUACUUCUCCUAGCUGCAAAACCUAUCUCGGAUAUCACCAUUGUAGAAUGCCGAGAUCACAUCCAGUUUGCAUAUUUAAAAACCGCUGAGGAAGGAGACAUACUGGUGACAGAAGAUCAAUGGGUAAAAAUCAUGGGACCCGUGAAAAACCAACUAGAACACGAUAUUUGCUGGGCAUUUGUCACCGCGGAGCUAGUGAGCGCCGUCAGACACAUCUACAAAUAUGACCCCACCGUUGUGGAAUACUCCUGUCGAGACCUUGUCGAUUUCGUAGAUCAUCAGAAACGUUCCCAAGAGAAGACGAAGGAGAAGUCGGGCAACAAACACUUUUGCUAUGCGCACGGAUUACGCCAAGGCUUUGAGUACGUCAAAGUUAAUGGCAUCCUAAGGGAAGAAUCCCGUCCGUUUGAAGCCGACUGUAGAGAAGAAGUAGUUACACGCCAUGGGUCUAACCUCGGCUACAUUAAAGAGGUAGUCUCCUUGACUACUGUCAAAGAAGUUCUUCAGACGCUUCAAAACCACCCUGUUGCUGGAUGCAUUCCCGUCUUUGAACCAGACUACGGCUCUAUUAAUGAUCAACUCUACUACGGCCCUACAUCUCCACUCUCACGUUACGAAACCAUGCAUGCGAUCAGCUUUGUUGGCGCUGGAGGAGUCAAGGAAGGUGAGAAGCAUGUGAAUGCUAGAUCCAGUCACGGUGUUAACUUCGGCAAAGACGGCUAUUUCAAAAUUUGCUUCCAGCACGUGAUAAUCUGCCUCACCCGUGGACACCACAUGAGGUAUCUUGAAGACCCGGUUCUUCUUCCUUGCAGAUUUGUAUACCCAGAGCUCCUAUCUCAAGAAAAGGACAAAGAGAAGAGAAGAGACGACACGAUAUAGAUCUCUUUCUUGGAGGGUGAUUUUGGCAGUGAAGCUGUAGCUAUGGCUCAUAAACUCUUUUAAUUAUUAGUAUCUUUUCCUACUGUCUGUUGACCUGAACAGCGCUUAGGGUUAUUAUGUGUGUUGGUGGAUCGUUCAUUGAUUUAACAAAGGAUAAUCAUAUUUCUCUUGGAAAAAUAAAACGUAGCAGUGUCUCACCGGUUAAGGAAGAACAAGAUCAGCUGUCCAGAACAGUUGCAUCAGUGAGUCACAGCAGUAACCUGUUUCUUCAUCAAGCCUGAGACGGCACAUUAAGGCUUGUAGAAGGACAAGGUGCACCCACGGUUGGUUCCAUGAGAGAACGAGCUGUCCACACCAUGAGCAUGAGCGUCACAGUCAAGGUUUGGCUGCAAUGGCGGUUAUGCUGGCACAAGCCUAUCGUCAAACGUGCAGUAACAUUUUAGCCAGAUAAAACAGAUGUGUUAUACCAUCCAGACCUUAAACCUCUAUGCUCUUUCAAGAUUCACAGACAAGGAAGGCCUACAAGAAGAUAUUUCUUUUGCUUGAUCCAAGUUUCUUAGAUCUAUGUUUAAUACACGUUGGAGAGGUAACAGUUGUUGGUGCGAAGGGAAAUUUAGGGCGUUUCAUCAAUAACUUCCGCCUUUCUGAAAAGGAUCAGGAGUCGAUUUAUGACUACAACUAUGUGAGGGUUUUUGCUGCUGCUGCUGCUGCUGCCAAAAAGUGUUAUUGUGGGUCAUCACAUUGCCGAGGCUAGGAGAUCCUUUGAACGGCGAUGUAAUUGUUCAAAGUUGCUCAGAUGAAGAGUAUUGUGCAGGCAAAUCUGGAAUAGCAACUGCCUUCUUCAGUGAGAGCAAUGCAUCACUGGCUAGGCAGCUCGCUGAGCUGAUGCAAGAAGCCAAUCAAGAGGUGCCUGAUUGGCUCACAAGAUACGCUUCACGUGCUUCAUUUGGCGGUAGUAAGAAACGGUCUGGUGGCCAGACGGGAGGGAAUAUUGAGCUCAGCUCUCAUGCUUCUCAAGUAGUUCCUCUUGGUUUUCUUGUGGACAGUCAAGCUCAAGAGCUCGUGCAGAACUCCCACAGCUCGUUUCUCCAUGAGAUCUAUGUGGGAGACAGACCAUGUAUGUGCUCAUAACAAUAUUGCAACCAGCGUGUGUGCUGUGUUUAGCAUAUAUAUAUAUAUAUAUAUAUAUAUAUAUAUUCACUGCUCUUAGUAUUUAUGUAAGGUAUCGAAGAAAGUAGAUGAAGUAUAUGUAGGGGAGGUGAGAAUACUCCAUCAUAAAUCUCUCAGAACCUUGAAUUUGCUUUUGAUCACAAGAGAGUUCUGAGUUUAUUUCUUAAA